CAGCAGCCUUUUCCAACCGGGAGGGCGCCCCCUUCCUCGCCGCCGCCGCCGCCAUGUUGGGCCGGGAGCCUCCGCGGGGCCGCUGCUGAGUCCCGAAGAGCGCAGGGAGCCACGACGACGACGACGGCGGGCAGGAGGAGUGGCCGGCGCCGGCGCCAUGGCGGAGCAGACCUAUUCCUGGGCUUAUUCCCUUGUGGAUUCCAGUCAAGUAUCUACAUUCCUAAUUUCCAUUCUUCUCAUAGUUUAUGGCAGCUUCAGGUCCCUUAACAUGGACUUUGAGAAUCAGGACAAAGAAAAGGACAGCAGCAGCUCAGCCGGCCCCUUCAAUGGCAGCAGCACAAAUAACAGUAUCCAGACCAUUGAUUCAACACAGGCUCUCUUCCUUCCCAUUGGUGCAUCAGUGUCUCUUUUAGUCAUGUUCUUCUUCUUUGACUCAGUUCAAGUUGUCUUUACAAUAUGCACAGCAGUUCUUGCAACAAUAGCAUUUGCUUUCCUUUUGCUCCCAAUGUGCCAGUAUUUAACACGACCGUGUUCACCUCAAAACAAGAUUUCUUUUGGUUGCUGUGGACGUUUCACUGCUGCUGAGUUGCUCUCCUUCUCUCUCUCUGUCAUGCUUGUUCUUAUCUGGGUCUUAACCGGACAUUGGCUCCUCAUGGAUGCCCUGGCAAUGGGCCUGUGCGUUGCAAUGAUCGCCUUUGUCCGGUUACCAAGCCUCAAGGUUUCUUGCCUGCUCCUCUCGGGGCUCUUAAUUUAUGAUGUCUUCUGGGUCUUCUUUUCUGCCUAUAUAUUCAAUAGCAAUGUUAUGGUGAAAGUGGCCACACAACCUGCUGAUAAUCCUCUGGACGUUUUAUCCCGGAAGCUUCACCUCGGACCAAACGUAGGUCGUGACGUCCCCCGCUUAUCACUUCCUGGAAAACUUGUAUUUCCAAGUUCCACAGGCAGCCACUUCUCCAUGCUGGGAAUUGGAGACAUUGUGAUGCCAGGCCUCUUGCUCUGCUUUGUCCUGCGUUACGACAACUACAAGAAACAAGCCAACAGUGAUUCCUGUGGUGCCGCAGGGCCAGGGAACAUCUCUGGCCGCAUGCAAAAAGUCUCCUACUUUCACUGCACACUCAUUGGAUACUUUGUAGGGCUCCUAACAGCAACGGUUGCGUCGCGCAUUCACCGGGCAGCCCAACCUGCACUGCUCUACCUGGUGCCAUUCACCUUAUUGCCACUCCUCACUAUGGCCUAUUUAAAGCUCUCAAACCAGGCCAAAGUGGGGUGAGGGGCCAUUGGAGUCCUCUCCUGGUCAAUCUCCAGGAUUGGUGCUUGUUGCGUAUUGCCAGUAAGAGCUUCUCUGGACAUUGCCCAGGGUGACCUGCGUCGCAUGUGGUCUGAACCAUUCCACUCCAAGUCCAGCAGCUCACGUUUCUUAGAGGUAUGAUGGAACGGAUGGAAAGUGACCGGAACCCCUACCUGGUCCUUUUUUGGCUCACAGCUUGGUUGCCUGUCCUUGUGGCUGGGCUGGCACUUGGGAGAAUGGCCUGUUUGCAGAACUUGCGCCAACGGACUAGCUGCAUCAAAGGAGAGAGGAGCAAGGUGUGUGAGGCUUCCCCACUUCCCUCUCCACUUGGAACUUGGAGCGGUUUGCAAUGGCAGUCAGCUUCCUCCUCUCCAUCUGUUUACGGAUUAGUGCCAGACCACUGGGUGUUUCUUCAGGGAGGAGGAAACAAACUCUCUGGUGAAAGUGGCACACGGUCACUGAGGAACUUGUGAAAACUAAAAGAAAAAAUGGCCACUGCACUCGGAGUUUCUUGGAAAAACUCUCAAGUACUUUGGAACCAGUUUUUCUUUGGACUUCUGUUUCAGAAAGAACAGAGACAGAACUUCUGUCGCUAUAAUCUUUUUUCCUUUUGAAUUUAUUAAAUAUUUUCUGUGGUGUGAGGUGACUUAUUAAAUCCACAGACAUUGAGUGACUUCUUGCAGUACACAAUAUAAAGACUUUGUUGUAACUAGUUCCAUUUUCACCCAGAUGUCAUGUUGCAGUGAAAAAGGGCACGUCUUUUGUACACACAUGCAUAGACCACACACACAUGCACACACACACACACACACACGCGCACGCAUAUAAUGCAUAUGCAAAAGAAAACCUGCUAAGAUCAUGCUUUAUAGUUGACAGGGGCUUGCUGUAAUUUCUAGCAUGUAGAGCAGUUUACUCUGGCUUUCUUGUAUACGGACCUGCAAGGAUGCUGCUGUCUCCCCCCUCCCCCCCCCCAGCCCAGCUCCAUGAGUGAAACUUCAGUUUUUAAAAGUGUAGUAUUUUGUACUGAGUGUACUCCUGGAUUUUAGGGGAUUAUUUGAUUUUCAAUCAAUGUAGCAAACCCGGAGGGCGGGGGGAGCUGAAGCCCUUUUCCUCUUGCCCUCUUUUUGUCUGUGGGUUGCUUUGGUUUGUUUUUGUUUUUUACAACUUAUCCAUUACAGGUUUUUAGUAGCUCCCUUCCUGGCCCAGUGCAUGUAUUAUAGCAACCGUUGUCUUUGUGUGUUCUGAUCAUAGUAAUGUAUGACUUGUAAAUACAUUUUUUCUAUUUUCUA